GCAAGGUUAGGACCACAAUAUGGGUCCAGACUUUUCAAUUCUUUCGAUUGGGCAAGACCCCUAGGGUUUUCAAAUUCUCUCUUGAAGCAAUUGGCCAAGAUCUCUAGGAUUUUUAAAUUGUCUAUGGAAUUGGGCAAGAUCGGGGCCUGUGUGGUCCUUGGUUUUUAAAUUGGAUCCCCCAGUUGAGUAAGCACACACACCCCAGGAGACCCCAGAGUGAAUUGGGCAAGACACCAUUGUUUUUAAAUUUCAUGUAUGGGCAGGUUGAUGCAGCUAGAAUGCAGUUGAAUCUCUGAUUGGGCAAGACAAUGGCUGUUUUUAAAUACUGCCAGGGCAUUGUAGACAUACUUUUCAGUGGGGGAUGGAGUGAGACAUUUGGAUUGACUAUCUGAUGCCAUGCCUCUUUUAAUUCAGUCGCCGCCUAGGAAGACGAUAGCUAAUACGAGAUAAGCAUAGGCUUGUAAUUGCGCAUGAUUGUGUGUGUCUAUUUUAUUCCUCCUUUGUGUGUAAGGGGUUUCAUAGUUCUUCAGGUUUGUUUCACUCUCCCCUGCUUAAAUAAAUAAAUAAAUAAAUAAAUAAAUAAAUAAAUAAAUAAAUAAAUAAAUUUAAAAAAAUAAAUUUAGGACGAAACCCAAGAAGUAGCAAACACAUCUUGGGGUGCCUCUGUUAUGGCACAAGGGAUAUUCCCAGAAUCCCAGAAUAGAUUGGGCAAGGUUAGGACCACAAUAUGGGUCCAUACUUUUCAAUUCUUUCGAUUGGGCAAGACCCCUAGGGUUUUUAAAUUCUCUCUUGAAGCAAUUGGCCAAGAUCUCUAGGAUUUUUAAAUUGUCUAUGGAAUUGGGCAAGAUCGGGGCCUGUGUGGGCCUUGGUUUUUAAAUUGGAUCCCCCAGUUGAGUAAGCACACACACCCCAGGAGACCCCAGAGUGAAUUGGGCAAGACACCAUUGUUUUUUAAUUUCUUGUAUGGACAGGAUCAUGCAGCUAGAAUGUAGUUGAAUCUCUGAUUGGGCAAGACAAUGGCUGUUUUUAAAUACUGCAAGGGCAUUGUAGACAUACUUUUCAGCGGGGGAUGGAGUGAUACAUUUGGAUUGACUGUCUGAUGCCUUUUUUAAUUCAGUGGCUGCCUAGGAAGACAAUAGCUAAAACUAGAUAAGCAUAGGUUUUUCUGUAUGCAUUUUUGUGUAACGAUUGUGUGAAUGUUUGUGUGUGAUAUUCUUUGUUUGUCUGCAGUGUAGACAUGCUUUUCAACUGGGGAUGGAGUGUUACAUUUGGAUUGACUGUGUGUUGCCGUGCCUUUUCUUAUUCAGUGUCCAGUUAUGAAGACAAUAGCUAAAACUUCAUAAGUAUAGGUUUGUUUGUUUUUUCCUGUAUUAUUUUUUGCGUGUAACUGGUUUCAUAGUUCUUUAGUUUUGUUUCCCUCUCCCUUUAGGACUUGAUAAGCAUAGGUUUUUUUAAUGGAUACCUAAGAUAUUCCAGAAUUCAUUGGGCAAUACACCAUUUUUUUCAUAUUUCAGGUAUUAACAAUUCAUUCCUGUGGAUUUUAGUCUUAUGGACUCUAAAUCUCAAAUUAACCAAUUGGGCAUGACAAUUGCUGUCUUUAAAUUCUGUAAUGGCAUUGUAUACACACUUUUCACACAGAGAUGUAGUGUUACAUUUGUUUUAAUCCCAGUUUUUUUCAUGCUUUAUAUAAGGUCUCAUCCAAGGAAACCUUGUAUUAUAUUUCCGUGUUUGUUCUUGUGGCACGUCAUCAUUGUCAUAUGUCACAUAUCCCAAGUGUUUUGUGGCCCAUUAGUAGAUGUCUAUGUUCUAAGUUCACUUAUGGUUAUCUUGAAUUCUAUUUCUUUACUUUCAAAGAAAAGCAUUCUUCUAAGUUCAUUGUCUAUGUUCUAAGUUCACUUAUGCUUAUCUUGAAUUCUAUUUCUUUACUUUCAAAGAAAAGCAUUGGUUUUGAAUUUUGAGCUUAAUAUCUUUUUCUUUUUGUUGGUAACGUGCAAGUCAUCCACUAGAAUCCUCUCACAUGCUAGUUUUUGAACCGUUUGUGUAAUGAAACGGCUUUGAUAACUGUCUUGACUUAGGAACUCUUUUAAUUGUAUAGUCAACAAGAAAAGUUCCUGCAACAUAGGUAGACAUUGUGCUGUCCAUUUCCAAGUUGCUAUUUUGCAAAAGGACUGACUUGUAUCAGAACCUUUUGUUUGUGUUGAAGAUGAUGUUUAGCAUUUUAGCCAUCAAGACACUUCAAACACUCAUUGAGAGAACUGCUGGUAUGAAAAAUUGAUAACAGAGUGGAAUGCAACAACUUAAUGAAAGGAAUGGCUCCAACUACUGAAAUACGGUUGGGGUCCAGUGGUGAUGAUGGGGUGAGUAACUUGGCCUGCUUGAAUGCAGCAUCUGCACUUAGCUUCUUCCAAACCAGAUGCCAAUUUCUAAUGAAACUCAGGCAAUCUUACAUUGUUCAGUGACUCUUUUGCACAGGCUGGGAGUACGACAAGAAGAAGGCUAGAAGAUUUUACGUAAGUAGUUUACAAUCUGCUAACAGCAGAAUCAACCCUUUUAUCAUUUUGAUUUCUCUCUUCUGCACUCUUUGCCAUCUGCUGGCUGGAACUAUACACCAUAUUUUAAAUGUGGCUACCCCAUAGACUUAUAUCUAUAUACUGCUUUUAAUUUUUUUUAUUAAAAAAUCAUUCUUCUAGCUAUAUCAAUUGCUUUAAGAACACCUUAAGGGUCACACACUGGUAUAAUAAUCCAUAUACACUAAUAGCAUUCUAACACUUCUAGAAAUCUAUAUAGGUGCAUUUUGAUAUUUCAAUAUAUCAGAGUUCUUAAUAUAGUAAUGUGAAUACACUGAAUUUUUUUUGAGCACUGUCUAAUGUGAUUUCUGUUUUAUUUCCAUUACCUCUGAGGAAGACUAUAGCUACAAACAAGGUAAGCAUGUCCGUGUGUGUCUGUGUGUAAAUAAUUUCCAAAAAGAUUGAGCUCUCCUAUGUUGUUUUCCCUGCUUUAACCAGAAUGAGGGGUAGAAAAGUAUUGACUCUCCGUUGCACAAAAUCAAUGACUUGAGGUAAGAGGCUGAAGUGGAAUUCGUGGAGCAUGUAAAUUUGGGAAGGAUUGCAAACAAUCGCAAGGAGAGAUGAAAUAUUUUGAAUGAUCUCGAUCAAUACAGAAUGAUAAAUGCUCUAACACAAUUUUGCGUUUUGCCAUUUUCACUUUGCAUGUAUCAUUUGGACCUUGCUGAAUUACAACCCUUUUCACCAACAUCUGAAAUGGUUCCCCUGUCUUAAAAGGUAGAAAGGUGGUAACCCGGAAAGUAUCGGACGUGUGCUUUUGAGAUUCUUACACACACAGACACAGGUCUUUGAGCCUGGAAGAAAUAUGUGAAUACUAUGCUCUCAGGUAUGUGUUUCAUGGUCAGGUGUGGGCAGCGGUACUUGAGACGAGGACUGAACAGAAACAUUUUCAAGUAUCUAGCUUGGCUAGAUCUCAGCCUCUGGCCAUGAGGUUCUCUUUUCCAACUGUGCAUCCCUGAUAAUCUGACAAUUCCUUGGACAAUGGUCCAAAGAAUACGCUGUCCUGCAUGCACCUUUAAAUAUGAUGCAUAGAUGGGACCUCCACAAGAGCAUUCCUUGUGGAUGUUGAGAGCUGUAGCAGACCCUCUGGGUGGAGCCUGUCCUUUAGAUGUAUUAGAACUGGACCUUCAUGUUUCUCCUUCAACUGAAUCCCUCACAAACUCCACAGUAAUGACUUGUGGGAUCCAGCAGUGAAGGACCUUAUUUCUGCCUUGAAGCAUCUGGAGUGACAACUGGAGAUCCUGAGGUAUAUUUUGUGCAGCUGAUGUAAGUAGCAGACCACUCCUUGGGGAAUCCUGAUUGGGUCUGUGUUGGAGCCAAAGUAAAUGUGGGAGAAGAAAUUCUCCAGGAAAUUCUCCUAACUCAAACUGACUUGUAUACAUGUGUAAUUGUGUGUUUUCCUUUCAAGGCAUUUCAAACAUUUGUGGAUACUGUUACAUGCUAGGUUGUGAAGAAUAAACAUGAGUUGAAUUUGGCAAAGGUAUGUUUUAGCAGGGCUGCAAGAUUAACUGAAGAAUUUAGAUCGAAUUGAAUGGUACCCUAACCAGGUAGCAGAUUUUAUGUUGUACUGUUUUUAAUAUAAGCACCUGUAGAAACUGUCAAGGGCAAAGGUCAUUUUAGUAGGGCAGUUUCCUUGAGCAUGUCUAGGCAUUUCAGUAAUUACAGUAUUUAAUAAUUCAGACAAUCAAGCAGACAGACAAUCAAGCAGACAAUCAAGCAGAGGCUUACGCACAGCUGAUGGUUGCCAGGAGAGAAGAAAAGGCAGCAGUGAGAAGAGGCAACCAUGCAAGCAAAAGAUGCUCCUCCUCUAAAUACUGGCAUCUCUUGCAGAUAUGUGGAUCAUGAGGACUAGGACCUUCUUCUUUUAAGGUGGGAUGCUCAAGGAUACAGAUUACUUUCCAUCUUUUUAACUAUUUAAUUUUUUGCCUCUUUUUUCCUAGCUUGGUGAAGGAUCUGCUUUCCCAAUAGUGCUGUAAAGACUUGAGCUCAGCCCCCUCGGAGAACCAGUACCUCUUGUGUUUUCACCUGAUGAAAAACAAGCUGCAAGACAGAGGCCUCAUUGAUUUACUGGAGGCGUCCAGCAAUCCAUGGUGCAGGAUACAGAAACAAGGCUGAGAUAAACAAACCCAGGUCCAGCAAUGCAACACAAGUUGAAAAAGUACAAGGAAAGAAGAGGCCUCAAGACUGACUCCUAAGGAUCUCUCAGUGAAUUUCAUCCUGCCCAUGAUUCCAGGAAAAGCAGCAAUAGACUAAGAUAAACCAGCUGCCUGUUCAGGACCCCUGAAAGGGUUUGACUUCAGUGUGAUCAUACAGUACAGGAAAGCUGGUUCUGAGGAGGAGCAUGGACAUUGCAACCAGCAAUCCUCUCAAAGUAUUUAGUGAGUUAAUACUUAGUGGGCUUUUCUCCCAUCAGCUUGCAGGUGGGGCUCCCCAAAUUAUCUCCUGUCCUGCAGUGACUGAGCCACCUGGUGCUGGCUGAUAACAUUUGGUUAACCUUUAUAUACUGCUUUUCAGCAUGGAAGUGCUCCAAGUGGUUUAUGUAGCAAAAGAAACUCUGUAAUCAGAUGUAGGAGUUGGCUCCUGCACCUGCUUAAGCAGAAAACUAGUACAGCAGGGAUCAUGCUGGGCUGAAACUUCUCUAUGUCCAGCCUCUCAGUUUGCCUCGAGCAGCAACCCAACCCUCCCUCCCUGGACAUAGUGUGGGCUUUGCUGGUUGCCUUUUUUAGGGGCCAGGUAGGAAUUUUUGGGCCCCAGUCUGAUUGGCCAUUGACUGGAGUCUUUUUUGCCUACCUCAUACUAUGUGCCUUAGUUGGGCUUCCUACUCACAACAGAAGCUACAGUGCAGAAAGGGGGAUAUUUGUAUAGGUUAGUGAGCACCUCAAGGCACGCAUUUGGUGUUUAGAAGAGUCUGUGGAGGCAUCACCAACCUUAAAGGUUUUAUGACUGGUGGGGUGGAGGUUUGAUGCCUUAUGCAGGUGCUUGACCUUAGGUUGGCUAAGAAGGGGAAAACAGCUAUAGGGCCUUGGUGCUACCUAGAGCCAAAGUGUGUUGCCCUCUGUUUCCUAGGCUGGGCUCACACCUGGAUGGUGAGCUGGUAGUUUCUGCACUGGCUGCUGGGGUGGGGGUGGAGAGCCAAUUCCCAUCCUUCAGAUUUGAAUCAAUUAAUAAAGUUGUGGCCCUUUACUUCCAA